UUCCUUGGAAAAGGACAGCUGAGAGGGUGAAACUCCCGUCCGCCUGGUAGAAUGAGUCUUUGUCAACGAGUCGAGUUGUUUGGGAUUGCAGCUCUAAUUUGGUGGUAAAUUCCAUCUAAAGCUAAAUAUUGGUGGGAGACCGAUAGCGUACAAGUACCGUGAGGGAAAGAUGCAAAGAACUUUGUAAAGAGAGUUAAAGAGUACCUGAAAUUGCUGAAACGGAAGCGAAGGAAACCAGUGUUUGUUGGUUCAUAUUUCCUUGGCCACUUGUGGUUUGGGCG
rnacentral:rRNA from 1 species